rnacentral:miRNA from 1 species
AGGCUGUGUCCUAUUAAGUGUA